GGUGCGUAGGUGGUUGUUUAAGUCUGUUGUGAAAGCCCUGGGCUCAACCUGGGAACUGCAGUGGAAACUGGACGACUAGAGUGUGGUAGAGGGUAGCGGAAUUCCUGGUGUAGCAGUGAAAUGCGUAGAGAUCAGGAGGAACAUCCAUGGCGAAGGCAGCUACCUGGACCAACAUUGACACUGAGGCACGAAAGCGUGGGGAGCAAACA
rnacentral:rRNA from 1 species